AUUGAACGCUGGCGGCAUGCCUUACACAUGCAAGUCGAACGGCAGCACGAGUGCUUGCACUUGGUGGCGAGUGGCGGACGGGUGAGUAAUACAUCGGAACGUACCUUAUCGUGGGGGAUAACGCAGCGAAAGCUGUGCUAAUACCGCAUACGCCCUGAGGGGGAAAGCGGGGGAUCGCAAGACCUCGCGCGAUUAGAGCGGCCGAUGCCUGAUUAGCUAGUUGGUGGGGUAAAAGCUCACCAAGGCGAUGAUCAGUAGCUGGUCUGAGAGGACGAUCAGCCACACUGGGACUGAGACACGGCCCAGACUCCUACGGGAGGCAGCAGUGGGGAAUUUUGGACAAUGGGGGCAAUCCUGAUCCAGCAAUGCCGCGUGAGUGAAG
rnacentral:rRNA from 1 species